rnacentral:rRNA from 1 species
UACAGAGGAGCCAAGCGUUGUCCGGAUUGACUGGGCGUAAAGCGCACGCAGGCGGAUGCGCGCGUGGGGUGUGAAAUCUGGCCGCUUAACGGCCAGGCGCCAUCCCAUACGGCGCGUCUGGAGCUAUGCAGAGGUCGGUGGAAUUGCCGGUGUAGUGGUGAAAUGCGUAGAGAUCGGCAGGAACACCCAGGGGGAAACCAGCCGACUGGGCAUAUGCUGACGCUGAGGUGCGAGAGCGUGGGGAGCGAACCGG